rnacentral:misc_RNA from 1 species
UGGCCUUCAUAUGAUUAAUUGCUUCAUCAAUUACAUCUUUUUUCAAUAAUGUUACUGUACAUCCUCCAAAACCAGCACCAGUUAAACGACUUCCUAAGACACCAUUUAUUGCUCUCGCUGCUAUUACUAAAGUAUCUAGCUCAACAGAAGAUACUUCAUAAUCUGUUUUUAAAGAAUCAUGACUUUCAUUCAUUAACUGUCCAAAUUUAUCAAAAUUUCCUUUUUCUAGGGCAUCUGCGGCAUCAAUUGUUCUUUGAAUUUCUGUUACUACAUGACGAGUUCGUUUUAUCAUUUCUUCAGCUUCAUAACAACAAUCUCUGCGCUCACAAUAUGCGCUUGAACUUAAUUUAUGAGGAGCAUUAGAGUUAGUAAUUAGAAAGAUAUAAUCAUUUAUUUGUGACAUAGGUAUUUGUUUAGUACUAAGAUCUUUACAAUCAAGAAGAAGAGCAUAGCCUUCUUUACCCAUUACAGAGAUAAACUGAUCCAUGAUACCACAUGGAACUCCAGCAAAAUCAUGUUCAGCACGUUGACAUGCUAAAGCCUGAAAGAUAUAAGCUUUACAUUUCUCUAGUUUAGUAAAGUUAUAAUUUAUGUAAUAUAUUCUGUCAUUAUACUUUAUCCUGUGGCUUUUCUGAUUUUAUACCAGUUAAUGCUUCCAAAAAUGUGUAAGUAGCAACUUCUAAAGCAGCUGAACUACUCAGACCAGCACCAACUGGUACAGAGGAUACAAUCACAGCAUUAAAAGAUGGCACAUCACCUAAAAUCAAUAUUUUAAUUAAAUUAUACAAUAGAAUUCUUUUAUUACAUUUUGAUAAAAUGGAUCAAAAUAAUAAAUAAACUAACAAAUAAAAUUUGCUAUACAUCCUUUUACAUAAUUAGCCCAUUUUGGUUCUCCUGGUUUUAUACUCUUAUGAGACCUAACUUCAAAUUCAACAUAAUUUUCAGAACUAACUAUUUCACUAAGGGAAACAAUUUUACAUUUAUCCAUAUUGUUACGUUUUCCAACUAUGAGUGUAACCAUGGGCAAUGCCUAAAAAUAUGGAGAAUGUUAUGCUUUACUCUAUUAUUGGUAAUUUGUUAUAAUAUCUCAAAUAAUUUAACGAUUACAUAUUUUCAUUAAAUACAAACAUAUUUAUAACUUCUAAUUUUAAAAAUCGAAUAAC